rnacentral:misc_RNA from 1 species
GAACCCUCAAGCUCUGCUUGGUGUUGGGUGUUUGUCCCGCCAGAGUGCGUGGACUCGCCUUAAAGUCAUUGGCAGCCGGCCGCCUCAGCUCGGAGCGCAGCAGAUUCAGCGCAUCGAAGUCGGGAGCGGUGGCAAUCCAGAAGCUCUUAUUUUCUAC